AUUGAACGCUAGCGGCAUGCUUUACACAUGCAAGUCGAACGAGUGGCGGACGGGUGAGUAAUAUAUGGGAACGUGCCCAGUGGCGGGGGAUAACUACUCGAAAGAGUGGCUAAUACCGCAUACUAUUGGAUCUGCCGCUAUGGGAUUAGCUAGUUGGUGGGGUAAAGGCUCACCAAGGCAACGAUCCGUAGCUGGUUUGAGGGGACGACCAUCCACACUGGGACUGAGAAACGGCCCAGACUCCUACGGGAGGCAGCAGUGGGGAAUUUUGGACAAUGGGGGAAACCCUGAUCCAGCCAUGCCGCGUGUAUGAGAAGGCCUUCGGGUUGUAAAGUACUUUCGGCAGAGAAGCGGUAUCUGCAGAAUAAGCACCGGCUAACUACGUGCCAGCAGCCGCGGUAAUUC
rnacentral:rRNA from 1 species